rnacentral:rRNA from 1 species
UACGAAGGGGCUAGCGUUGUUCGGAUUUACUGGGCGUAAAGCGCACGUAGGCGGAUCGAUCAGUCAGGGGUGAAAUCCCAGAGCUCAACUCUGGAACUGCCUUUGAUACUGUCGAUCUGGAGUAUGGAAGAGGUGAGUGGAAUUCCGAGUGAUAGAGGUGAAAUUCGUAGAUAUUCGGAGGAACACCAGUGGGCGAAGGCGGC